rnacentral:rRNA from 1 species
CAGCAGGUUGAUUCUGCCUGACGCAGAUGCUAGUUUCUAAGAUUAAGCCAUGCAUGUUUAGGGAAUAAGAACGGACAGCUCAGUAAAACUGUGAUGAUUUAGUCUAAUAGAGAAAGAGAACUUCGUGAAAAUGAAGCUAGAAGGAUUAGAAUAAGACGCAGACCUAUCAGUUAGUUGGUAGUGUAAUGGACUACCAAGACGAUGACGGGGACGGGGAAUGAGGGUUUGAUACCGGAGAGGGAGCCUGAGAGAUAGCUCCCACGUCCAAGGACGGCAGCAGGCGCGAAAAUUGCCCACUCUUAGUAGGAGGCAGUUAAGAGACGUGAAUAAGAAGAGCCAGUAAAGAGGGGUAAGUAAGAAUUGGAGGGCAAGUUUGGUGCCAGCAGCCGCGGUAAUACCGACUCCAAGAGUGUGUGAGAGAGAUGCUGCAGUUAAAAAGUCCGUAGUCGUAGAGGUAGAAAGAAUAAGGAUAUUGGAUAGGAAUAGAGGAGCC